rfam:Salmo salar isolate Sally breed double haploid chromosome ssa10, whole genome shotgun sequence.
UAGCUCAGUUGGUAGAGCAUGGUGUUUGCAACAUGUUUGCAACGCCAGGGUUGUGGGUUCGAUUCCCAC